GGGGAAUUUUUCGCAAUGGGCGCAAGCCUGACGAAGCAACGCCGCGUAGAGGAUGAAGGCCCUCGCGGUCGUAAACUCUUGUCUAGCGGGACGAAACCUUUGCAGAUGAAUAAUCUGCAGAAUUGACUGUACCGCUGGAGGAAGCUCCGGCCAACUCCGUGCCAGCAGCCGCGGUAAUACGGAGGGAGCAAGCGUUACUCGGAAUUACUGGGAGUAAAGGGCGCGUAGGCGGCCCGAGAAGUUCUGGGUGAAAGCCCCCGGCUCAACCGGGGAAGUGCCUGGAAAACCAUCGGGCUGGAGUGCUGGAGAGGCAAGCGGAAUUUCUGGUGUAGCGGUGAAAUGCGUAGAUAUCAGAAGGAACACCUGCGGCGAAGGCGGCUUGCUGGACGGACACUGACGCUGAGGCGCGAAAGCCAGGGGAGCAA
rnacentral:rRNA from 1 species